rnacentral:rRNA from 1 species
UUUAUUGGAGAGUUUGAUCCUGGCUCAGGAUGAACGCUGGCGGCGUGCCUAAUACAUGCAAGUCGAGCGAACGGAUUAAGAGCUUGCUCUUAAGAAGUUAGCGGCGGACGGGUGAGUAACACGUGGGUAACCUGCCCAUAAGACUGGGAUAACUCCGGGAAACCGGGGCUAAUACCGGAUAACAUUUUGCACCGCAUGGUGCAAGAUUGAAAGGCGGCUUCGGCUGUCACUUAUGGAUGGACCCGCGUCGCAUUAGCUAGUUGGUGAGGUAACGGCUCACCAAGGCGACGAUGCGUAGCCGACCUGAGAGGGUGAUCGGCCACACUGGGACUGAGACACGGCCCAGACUCCUACGGGAGGCAGCAGUAGGGAAUCUUCCGCAAUGGACGAAAGUCUGACGGAGCAACGCCGCGUGAGCGAUGAAGGCCUUCGGGUCGUAAAGCUCUGUUGUUAGGGAAGAACAAGUAUGAGUUGAAUAAGCUCAUGCCUUGACGGUACCUAACCAGAAAGCCACGGCUAACUACGUGCCAGCAGCCGCGGUAAUACGUAGGUGGCAAGCGUUAUCCGGAAUUAUUGGGCGUAAAGCGCGCGCAG